rnacentral:rRNA from 1 species
UACAGAGGGUGCGAGCGUUGUCCGGAAUUACUGGGCGUAAAGCGCACGUAGGCGGCUUUGCAAGUCAGAGGUGAAAGCCCGGGGCUCAACCCCGGAAUUGCCUUUGAGACUGCAUCGCUAGAAUUGUGGAGAGGUAAGUGGAAUUCCGAGUGUAGAGGUGAAAUUCGUAGAUAUUCGGAAGAACACCAGUGGCGAAGGCGACUUACUGGACACAUAUUGACGCUGAGGUGCGAAAGCGUGGGGAGCAAACAGG